rnacentral:rRNA from 1 species
CACGUAGGGUGCGAGCGUUGUCCGGAAUUAUUGGGCGUAAAGAGCUCGUAGGCGGUGUGUCGCGUCGGCCGUGAAAACCUGCAGCUUAACUGUGAGCUUGCGGUCGAUACGGGCAUCACUGGAGUUCGGCAGGGGAGACUGGAAUUCCUGGUGUAGCGGUGAAAUGCGCAGAUAUCAGGAGGAACACCGGUGGCAAAGGCGGGUCUCUGGGCCGAUACUGACGCUGAGGAGCGAAAGCGUGGGGAGCGAACAGG